GGAAGGCAGGCCUUCUGCUUACUCCACCAUACAUAUCAGGAGAUGGAACCCAUGAGAGCCAGAUCCAGUGGGACUAAACCACACCAGGCAUUUAACUCUUGUGCCUGGCAAGGGCAUGAGCCUUUGGUAUGCAAGCAAAAGGGCUCUUAUCUUGUGGUUCUCAGCUGAAGGAGAGCAGCCCGAGUGCAAGAUGCUGGCAGAAGGAAUACUAAUGGAGCAAUGGUUGGCUGCAACAAUCCCAUGCUUCUGUUUGAGCAUUCAACACAGAACUCAGCAAGUUCGUGCGAGGGAUCGAAAGAGCUGUCUAUUUUGGUUCUCUCCGUUCCUCAUUUUUCCAGUGUUAGAUUCAGUUCUCUACAUUCCUGCAGCAAUCUGCAAUUAUUAUUUUUUUAAAAUCCUCAUGACAAUUCUCUACCAUU